rnacentral:rRNA from 1 species
UACAGAGGUGCCGAGCGUUAGGCGGAAUCACUGGGCUUAAAGCGUGUGUAGGCGGACGCCUAAGUACCUUGUGAAAUCCCACGGCUCACCCGUGGAACGGCUGGGUAUACUGGGCGUCUUGAGCCUUCUAGGGGCCAGCGGAACAAAUGGUGGAGCGGUGAAAUGCUUAGAGAUGACAUAGAACACCCAUUGCGAAGGCAGCUUACUACGGAUUGAUUGACACUGAGGCACGAAAGCGUGGGGAUCAAACAGG